GCUUGGUCACUUGUUUGAAUGUAUCCACUUCCCCUGUUGCUCUCACACAGGCUCAUAUAGGCCCAACAUGUGACCAUCAAGGCAUCUCAUAGCUGCAACCUGCAAGACAAACCCAGCAUGUUCUUUUCGAUCAUCAGAAUCCCCAUUA